GUCAACAACGGACGGGCAGCAGCAGCAGCAGCAGGCAGCGCUGUCCGGGAGCAGGGAGGGGGAGUGAAGAGGCACUUUAAACGUCCGAACGUCGUCUGAGAUGGGGGAUGAUCGGCCCUUUGUCUGCACAGCCCCUGGAUGUGGGCAGAGAUUCACGAAUGAAGAUCACCUCUCGGUCCACAAACACAAGCAUGAAAUGACUUUAAAAUUUGGUCCUGCCAGGACAGACUCUGUUAUUAUCGCAGACCAGACCCCAACCCCCACGCGUUUCCUGAAGAACUGUGAAGAGGUCGGUCUGUUCAAUGAGCUGGCCGGUUCCUUUGAUCAGGAGUUUGGUAAAACACAGGAAGACGAGCACAGAACAAAGCACCCCGCUGCACCUUUACAAACACCCGCUGAAGUAAAAGAUGAGGACGACUCGUCCUUACAGGUUGAUUCGUCUCCCCCCGACAGUCCGGACUCCUCGUCCACCAUGUCUGAGAACAGCAGAGACUCUAGGGAGUUUCUCACUAAGCACGUGGCGAGCUCCACUCCUACUCCAACGAUUGUUCGCCCGGGCUCGCUCCCCCUUCACCUGACCAGUGACCCGCUACACCCGACUCUGCCUUCUCCAACGUCUGUGAUCACACAGGCCCCGCCCUCCAACAGACAGCUUGGAUCUCCCACAAGUGCGUAUCCACUGAUGAGGCACCUCCCUAACGGGCAGACUAUCCCGCUUCUGCCCAGCCCUGUGCAGAUGACUUCAGUUAUAUCUCUUGCGAGGACAGUGAACACCGUGCCUAACAUCCCUGGGAUCCCAGGACCUCCUCUAGGAGGAGCCAGCAGUGGUUCCUCCUCCCCUUCGGGAUAUAGUCUUCACUCUGAGACCAAAAUGAGGCUGAAGGCAGCUCUGUCUCAGCAAGGCCCGGCAGCACAAGAUGGAGCAGGGGGUGGGUCAGGAUCCAUCCCUGCUAUCCCUCAGCGACAAGAACAGAGCCAGCAGCCCACUCAGAACUCUGACACACCGUCGCCUGCUCAACCUCAGGUCUCCCCUGCUCAGCCCACAGGGGGGCGGCGGCGGCGCGCAUCGGAGAUGGACCCCGACGAGAGGAGGCAGCGUUUCCUGGAGAGAAACCGCGCGGCCGCGUCUCGCUGCAGGCAAAAACGAAAGCUGUGGGUCAACUCCUUGGAGAAGAAGGCAGAGGAUCUUGCCAACAUGAACGUCUCCUUAACAAAUGAAGUGACUCUGCUGAGGAACGAGGUGGCACAGCUGAAACAGCUCCUCCUCGCUCACAAAGACUGCCCUGUGACCGUCAUGCAGAAGAAGGCCGCUUUCCUAGCUGCAGGAGGAGAGGAAGUCUCCAGGGAGGCUCCCAGCGAACACAUCGGCUCCCCGGCAGCGGUCAUCCAGCACGUGCCGUCACCUGCUGCAGUGUCGUCGAGCCCAGGGCCCACCAUAAACGGACUGAGCGUCCGCGCCGCAGAGGCAGUGGCCAUGUCGGUGUUGGCCGGCAUGGGCUCGGGCCAGCCCGGAGGCGUCCUGAUCGCCCCGCAGUCUCAGCCGUCCCCGAGAUGAUGCGCGGGCAGACGGCAGCAGGAAUGAACUGAGGUGUCGCUUAGAGGCCGGACCGGUGCAAAGCUCGUUGUGAAGAGGGAACCCACCCUCACUGUUAUCGAUACCCCUCCCCCUCUGAACACCUUACAGUAAUCACACAAAGGACAUGGCGAGACACCUCCGCCAGCCCUCCUCCCAACAGAAACGCUUCAUCACUCUCCAUGAUCGCGGGGCGACUGGUCCCUGUCUCCAGGGGUCAUAAAGCGAGAUGCAGGUUACUGGCUGGACAAGCUCACCUGUCCAUGUUGCUAACAACCAAAGUAAGCCAAACAUACAAAGAAAUCAAAAUGAAUGACUCCAUAAAAUGUUAAAUCCACAAAAAAACUUAAUAAAUGCUGAACACGCUAACAGAAAUUCUAAUUAUUUAUUAUUUUAAUGAUUAAAUACUUGGUGGGAAUGCUUUUGUCGGUAAUGACGGCCUCAAUGCUUGAAGGAUGAGAGUCCCUUCUUCCCAUUCUGAUUUUUAGCUCCUUCCUUAGAUUUGAAUUGGAUUUAAGUCUGAGUAUGAAUGCUAAUUUUAGCUGCUUUAUUUAUUUUUCUCUUAAACCAGUAAAGUUUCCUUGGCUUUGUGUUUUGAGAUAAUUGUUCUGCUGGAAAAAACCCAUCCUUGUCUUGUCUUCAGAUUCUGAUCAAUAAUGUCUCAGCGAAUUUCUCCAUUCAUCUUGCUUUCAGUGGUAUGAAAUCUGCCACAACCACAUGCUGAAUAGCCGCUCCCACCUUCAAACUUCACUGGUGGUAUGGUGUUGUGUUUUAUUUUAUGUUUUUUGGGGGGUGGCAGCUUACAGGACCAUUUCUCCUUAGAAUAUGCCAUGCGUUAUGACAUCUGAAGUGUUCAGUUUUACACUCAUCUGACCAGACUGUACUCCCAGUAUUUCACUGACGUAUCCAAAAGCGUGCAUUUUCUUCAGCAGUGGAGUCUUGUGCUGUGAGUACAAUGAGCUUAGAGGCCAUGUUUGUAAAUGUAUUGGAUUUAAUAACUUAAAUUGUGGAUUAGAUUUAGUUGAUUUCUUUGUAUGUGUGGAUUACGCUGAUUGUUACUGGCAUCUGGUGUAAAUUUCAUGUCAGUACCCCUAUUUGAAAUGUAUUUAGGUGGGAAACAUUUUACUGGUGAAGAUGUUGAUGUGUCUAAUCCUUAUUUGUACUUGCUGUAAAGCCUUUCCAGACUGCAGUGAAUGCAGUCUGGAAAGGCUUUGUCGUCUUUUUUUUUUUCUUUCUUUUUUUUAUCCCCUGACUUUUACUCUUGCUUUAUAAAUGUUGUCUUUUUUUUGUUGUUGUUUUUAAGUCAAUUCUUGAUUAAUGCACUCAUUGGAAGUUGGUUGAGUUCACAACAAAACAAACCGUAGAUGUGAACACAGUAAAUCCUGUGAUUGUGCCCCCCCCCCCCCCCCCCUUUUUAAUUAUUAUUCAUAUUUAACCCAUUUUGGAUGGAUAUCAUGAUAUUAGUCAAUCGUAUCAACCCUUACUGACUGCAUGGAUUGCUCAAGGCUGAAGAAUACCACUAUUUGUAUGUAGCCCAUUAUACUCUCACUGUUUUGUAACAUCAAGAUAUAAAUGUGAAAAUUGUCCCAGUUCUGUUAGGAAUCCGUCCUCUGCCCUGAAAGCUUUGGACUAUUAGAAAUACGUUUAAUUGACAGGUUUGAAAUCUUUUACCCAGACAUUUCAGUUGAGUACAGAGUAGUGCAAUAUAUUUUUCUAUUGAAUAUCGAUGUUCUUGCUUUGAGCGGACGCGUGUAGUCCAGCUGCUGACAGGGUUUGCUCUAUUUCAGUCAAACGCUACAGUUAACGAGGUGACCAAAGGAAAUGUGAAGGAGAUUGUUGUUGGGUGAAUGGAUUGUUAAUCAGUGUACGUUCUGAGAUACACAUGGUCUGAUUGGGAGCUUUAUACCAUUAAAAACUUGUGCUAUUGCAUUUAUGAACCAGAUUAAUUUCACAUGCAAGGUGCUUUUGUUUUGAUGUUCUUUUGCAGCUUUUUUUAAUAUGGCAUUGUUCUUCCAAGACGAUCAUCUUGUUUUUCCCCUAUUACUGUUUUUUUUUUUUUUAUAACAUUUUUUAGGUUCCCUUUUGUUUUGUCUCUGAGGGAAUAUUAAGGUUUUCUCCAUCAUGUGAUUGUAUGUGCUCCUUUUUUUUGUUAGUUUUUAUUUUGUUCUCUUGGUGUUUAACUGAAGUUGAACUACAUUGGGGGGGGGGGGGGGGGGGUGUAUCUGUUUGGAGGGAGUUUGUCCAAUACUCAGGCUUCAAGAUGGGAAAUAACUUGUGUAUAGUCUCAGCUACUUAAUAAAUUGUCUUGGACAAACGAUGAAAUAAAUUAAUGUAUAGCAAAACGUUA